rnacentral:rRNA from 1 species
GGUACAUCGGUGACAGGUGCUGCAUGGCUGUCGUCAGCUCGUGUCGUGAGAUGUUGGGUUAAGUCCCGCAACGAGCGCAACCCUUGUCAUUAGUUGCCAUCAUUUGGUUGGGCACUCUAAUGAGACUGCCGGUGACAAACCGGGAGGAAGGUGGGGAUGACGUCAAGUCCUCAUGGCCCUUAUGGGUAGGGCUUCACACGUCAUACAAUGGUCGGUACAGAGGGUUGCCAACCCGCGAGGGGGAGCUAAUCCCACAAAGCCGAUCGUAGUCCGGAUCGCAGUCUGCAACUCGACUGCGUGAAGUCGGAAUCGCUAGUAAUCGUGGAUCAGCAUGUCACGGUGAAUACGUUCCCGGGGCUU